GCGCAGUUGGCGUAGUGGUCAACGCGUUCGCUCUUCAAAUAGCACUUCGAGCAGCUACGGUGUCCGUUGCGGGCUGGGACGCCAGUCUGACAGUGAAAAUUCCCGUGUUCGAAUUCCGGACCGCGCA
rnacentral:tRNA from 2 species